GAUGAACGCUAGCGGCAGGCUUAAUACAUGCAAGUCGAGGGGCAGCAUGAUUGUAGCAAUACAAUUGAUGGCGACCGGCAAACGGGUGCGGAACACGUACACAACCUCCCAAUAAGUGGGGAAUAGCCCAGAGAAAUUUGGAUUAAUACCCCGUAACAUAACGAUGUGGCAUCACAUUGUUAUCAUAGAUUUUUCGCUUAUUGAUGGGUGUGCGGCUGAUUAGAUAGUUGGCGGGGUAACGGCCCACCAAGCCUACGAUCAGUAGCUGAUGUGAGAGCAUGAUCAGCCACACGGGCACUGAGACACGGGCCCGACUCCUACGGGAGGCAGCAGUAAGGAAUAUUGGACAAUGGACGCAAGUCUGAUCCAGCCAUGCCGCGUGAAGGAUUAAGGUCCUCUGGAUUGUAAACUUCUUUUAUAAGGGACGAAAAAAGGUCUUUCUAGAUCGUCUGACGGUACCUUAUGAAUAAGCACCGGCUAACUCCGUGCCAGCCGCCGCCGUAAAAC
rnacentral:rRNA from 1 species